AUAUACAAACAUCUUGGAUAACCUUGUUUUUUAAAUCUUGGUAAUAGAGCAGCCCUGCCAGGAGUGAGCAUUACUCCAUCGUCAUGCACUCGGCUGUAAUUGCCCAUCUGACGGCGAGCUCGGAGAUUAACAUCACAGUUCUUGAGCCAUGGACUACAUAUGCCAGACCGCUGCGUGUUGUGUCAAGCCACUUAGGCAUGAACCGUCAGUGUGCAGAGUGUUACUAAACGCUCUUAUUUUUAGGUCACACAGAUGCAGAUCAUCCUGAAUAUUACUCUGGACAAACUGCUAAUCGCUACCUUGUUCAAAAUCUGUUGGACAUUUCCUAUGUGCUGCAUCAAAGGGUGAUAUAUAUAUAUAUAUUUUAAUGAAAAAAAGCAAUACAAGCAAUAAUAAGAAGCUCACUUAUGAGGCCUGCAUAAAAUGGUGUAUAAAACAACCAAGUACAGUAAAUUAAACAUGAUACUCAUUACAUAAAUACAAUUAUAUUUAUCAGCCUUUUAUAACCACACAAAGCAUUUACCAGUAAGAGUUAUUUUGUAGUAGAUAAUUCCCAAUUAACUUUUACUACUUUAUUUUUGCUAAUUUAGUUAGAUUUAAUUUUUCAAAUAAAAAAAAAACAAAACACUGUAUCAAAUGGUAUCUCUAACUAUUACACUGGAGAUGAGAUAUAAUUAAAAUGUUAUGUAUGUGGAAUUGCAACUGAUGGGAACCUCAGCUUAAACUCUUAUUUUUGUCUUUAUUUGAUUGUUGCCUGCAUUGCUCAGAUAACAUGAUUGAAUUGCUAGAUGGCUGUGUGCCCGUGGUGCCAGCACCAGGAGCUCACAGCUGAGAGGGAAAGAAAGAGCUUGAAAGAAAAAGUACCUGGAAAGUCAAGCAGGUCAAGGUCUGGCUUUAUGUUUGCUAAGGAAUCCUACAAGAAGUCCUUCUCCAACCAUGCCAUUUUCUUCUAUAAAGCCUUAGACUGAGUGAUGAUGGUGCUGUGCACUGGUCAAAGAAGACUCCAUCUAAACUUGGCACCAAAAUUCAGACUUCAAGCCAAGCCAGUUCACUUGGGCAAAGAGUCCUGCCCAGUCAUUUGAGUUUUUUAGGCUCUUUACAGUUCCUCAUCUUCUCAAGGAGGCUGGUAAGAGACAGUGUCUCUUGGGAAAGGGACUCUUGAAUGAGUCCCUUUCUAAUUUUAUUCAUUUUUAAAAUAAAUCCUUCAAAAUAAAAUGAAGGACAACUCUGAAAA